AGAGUUUGAUCAUGGCUCAGAAUCAACGCUGGCGGCGUGCCUCAGACAUGCAAGUCGAACGCGAAAGUUCCUUCGGGGAUGAGUAGAGUGGCGCACGGGUGAGUAACACGUAGGUAAUCUACCUCUAAGUGGGGAAUAACUUAUGGAAACGUAAGCUAAUACCGCAUAAACGUAAAGCAGCAAUGUGCUUAGAGAGGAGCCUGCGGCGGAUUAGCUAGUUGGUAAGGUAACGGCUUACCAAGGCAACGAUCUGUAGCCGGCCUGAGAGGGCGGUCGGCCACACUGACACUGAAUAACGGGUCAGACUCCUACGGGAGGCAGCAGUCGGGAAUUUUGGGCAAUGGGGGCAACCCUGACCCAGCAACGCCGCGUGAAGGAUGAAGUCCUUCGGGAUGUAAACUUUGAAAGAAUGGGAAGAAGAGAUGACGGUACCAUUUAUAAGCCCCGGCUAACUCCGUGCCAGCAGCCGCGGUAAUAC
rnacentral:rRNA from 1 species